GUAGAUAAAAUUGAAGGAGAUAUAUCUAAUUUUACCUCGAAAACAAUUGAAGACCCGUAGACUUUUAUUUACAGUGGAAGAAGAUAGUCUUCUAUCAACAAGUUAUGAGAACAACUUUUUUGUGAGGAUAUAUAUUUUGGAGAUUAAUUUUGUGAACCGUAUUCACUUGAUGUACUUGGUGGGGAUAAUGGGAUAAUUUUUGAUUUUUUUUUCUUAUAAUGAGGUAACCGAUGUAGUUUAGUUCAAACCAAACUUAGAGAUGAAAAUUUAUAUCUCUAUAUUUUUCUGUAAAACAAAAAUUUCUAUUAACCGAUGCAGAAAAAAUUUUGUUUUGCAGAAAAAUAACCGAUGCAGAGGAUUUUUUUUGUCUAUUUUAGAAGAAAAUACAGAGAUGAAAAUUUAGAUGGCUCCGAGAUGUUUAGUGGUUUAAUACUGUUUGGUUUAAUUUUCAAGAGUCGAAAUGAUUUAGUGGUUUAAUACUGUUUGGUUUGAAAGAGACGUUGAACGCUAAAAUGUAGUUUUACGGUAGAAAAUUUUGAUGAGAAAGUUAAACUGUUCUUUUACUAGAACGGUUUACAGAGUUAAAAUUAAAAAAAAAAAUUAUAUUAUUCGACAUGCUUAUUUGCUAUGAAGCCACGGAACUUCUAUAAACAAAAGAAGAAACCAAAAGGGAAACUAAGCAUGUAAACAACAGUAAGUGUAAACAUAGAAACAUAUGUAUCAACACAGAAGAAAGUGUGAAAGAGUUAAAAACUUACAUCAGAUUUUUGUACAGUGACGCUAUUAGUUAUGAUAAAGAUUCUUCUAUUCUUUUUCAACUAUCAACACUCAGACCACAUGCUUUGGUUCCAUAUUUCAGACCAUGUUAGACUUAUCCUUCUUGCUGUCGAACCCAAAAA